rnacentral:rRNA from 1 species
AUUGAACGCUGGCGGCAUGCCUUACACAUGCAAGUCGAACGGUAGCACAGAGAGCUUGCUCUCGGGUGACGAGUGGCGGACGGGUGAGUAAUGUCUGGGAAACUGCCUGAUGGAGGGGGAUAACUACUGGAAACGGUAGCUAAUACCGCAUAACGUCGCAAGACCAAAGAGGGGGACCUUCGGGCCUCUUGCCAUCAGAUGUGCCCAGAUGGGAUUAGCUUGUAGGCGGGGUAAUGGCCCACCUAGGCGACGAUCCCUAGCUGGUCUGAGAGGAUGACCAGCCACACUGGAACUGAGACACGGUCCAGACUCCUACGGGAGGCAGCAGUGGGGAAUAUUGCACAAUGGGCGCAAGCCUGAUGCAGCCAUGCCGCGUGUGUGAAGAAGGCCUUCGGGUUGUAAAGCACUUUCAGCGGGGAGGAAGGCGGUACGGUUAAUAACCGUGCCGAUUGACGUUACCCGCAGAAGAAGCACCGGCUAACUCCGUGCCAGCCGCCGCCGUAA